CUUGUAGCUCAGUGGUAGAGCAUUUGCCUAUGGCAAAUGCUGUCCCUGGUUCAAUCCCUGGGAUCUUGA